GAUGAACGCUGGCGGCGUGCCUAAUACAUGCAAGUCGAGCGAACGGACGAGAAGCUUGCUUCUCUGAUGUUAGCGGCGGACGGGUGAGUAACACGUGGAUAACCUACCUAUAAGACUGGGAUAACUUCGGGAAACCGGAGCUAAUACCGGAUAAUAUUUUGAACCGCAUGGUUCAAUAGUAAAAGACGGUCUUGCUGUCACUUAUAGAUGGAUCCGCGCUGCAUUAGCUAGUUGGUAAGGUAACGGCUUACCAAGGCAACGAUGCAUAGCCGACCUGAGAGGGUGAUCGGCCACACUGGAACUGAGACACGGUCCAGACUCCUACGGGAGGCAGCAGUAGGGAAUCUUCCGCAAUGGGCGAAAGCCUGACGGAGCAACGCCGCGUGAGUGAUGAAGGUCUUCGGAUCGUAAAACUCUGUUAUUAGGGAAGAACAUAUGUGUAAGUAACUGUGCACAUCUUGACGGUACCUAAUCAGAAAGCCACGGCUAACUACGUG
rnacentral:rRNA from 1 species